GAUGAACGCUGGCGGCGUGCUUAACACAUGCAAGUCGAACGGAAAGGCCAGUGCUUGCCCUGGUACUCGAGUGGCGAACGGGUGAGUAACACGUGGGUGAUCUGCCCUGCACUUCGGGAUAAGCCUGGGAAACUGGGUCUAAUACCGGAUAGGACAAUGGUUUGGAUGCCGUUGUGGAAAGUUUUUUCGGUGUGGGAUGAGCUCGCGGCCUAUCAGCUUGUUGGUGGGGUAAUGGCCUACCAAGGCGUCGACGGGUAGCCGGCCUGAGAGGGUGUACGGCCACAUUGGGACUGAGAUACGGCCCAGACUCCUACGGGAGGCAGCAGUGGGGAAUAUUGCACAAUGGGCGCAAGCCUGAUGCAGCGACGCCGCGUGGGGGAUGACGGCCUUCGGGUUGUAAACUCCUUUCGCUAGGGACGAAGCGUAUUUGUGACGGUACCUGGAGAAGAAGCACCAGCUAACUACGUG
rnacentral:rRNA from 1 species